UACGUAGGGUGCAAGCGUUAUUCGGAAUUACUGGGCGUAAAGCGUGCGCAGGCGGUCAUGUAAGUCAGUUGUGAAAUCCCCGGGCUCAACCUGGGAACUGCAUCUGUGACUGCAUCGCUGGAGUGCGGCAGAGGGGGAUGGAAUUCCGCGUGUAGCAGUGAAAUGCGUAGAUAUGCGGAGGAACACCGAUGGCGAAGGCAAUCCCCUGGGCCUGCACUGACGCUCAUGCACGAAAGCGUGGGGAGCAAACAGG
rnacentral:rRNA from 1 species